rnacentral:rRNA from 1 species
UACGGAGGGAGCUAGCGUUGUUCGGAAUUACUGGGCGUAAAGCGCACGUAGGCAGCUUUCUAAGUCAGGGGUGAAAUCCUGGAGCUCAACUCCAGAACUGCCUUUGAUACUGGAGAGCUUGAGUCCGGAAGAGGUGAGUGGAACUCCGAGUGUAGAGGUGAAAUUCGUAGAUAUUCGGAAGAACACCAGUGGCGAAGGCGGCUCACUGGUCCGGUACUGACGCUGAGGUGCGAAAGCGUGGGGAGCAAACAGG